rnacentral:lncRNA from 1 species
UAGGUUUUAUUCUAUGAUUAAGAUCUAUUAUCAUUGACGGGGCAGUUUCUCCCAUUAUUAGUUCUUUCAAACAUUUGAGAAUUUAUUAGGGGGAUUAACUCAGAUUUUUUUUUUUUUUUGGGUAUGACUCAGUGACAAGGAAAUACACAUAAAGCAUGUUUGAUAAAAUCCUACAUUAUAAGGAUAUUUUAUAUAUAUUCACUGCCUAUUUCCAGUCUCUUUUUUUUCUCCCCCCAUUUAAGGAUACUAUUUACCUUGUUUCUUUUGAAAAACAUGGUUUGGGCCAGAUACCAUGACAGAAAUAAAAAUUACAAACAUUUCUGUUUCAGAAGUAUGUAGUUAAAUUAUACUUAAUGUCAUAAGCCCAAAUUUAUUCAAAUGCUGAAUGAUUUUGUAAUUUUGUAGCCAAAUUGUUUUAAAAAUGCGUAAGCAUAAAGUCUCCCUAAAUAGAACCUGAAGUAUCAAUAGACAUUCACUUGCAAGUCCCUCAUUGUUAUAUCUUGUACUGUUAGUUUUAUUAUUUUGUUAAAAAGAUUUUUAUAAUGGCUAAUAUCUGAAAGCUAUAUUUGAUAUUUUUGCUAUAGUUUUCAAAUAAAUGUUUAUGGAAUACCUAUAAGUGAGGUACUUUAGGUGAUUUUUUUUGGCAUUUAUAGAUAUAGAUUCCUUCAUUAUUUUAAAGCUCACCAAGGUUAUUCUAUAUUUGUAAUUAUUAAUGCUUUAUCUGAUAAUAUCAUCAGGGCAUGUAUACCUUAUAUUUAAUGUGAUUUUUUUAAGCAUUGAUGUUUGAUUAUUAAAACUUCCAUAAAUAUUAACUUUAUUCUAAGACCUCCGUUAAAUAUAAUCCUUAUUCCCAUGAGCUAUGUUUUGUAAUUGAUUGAACUGACACUGCUGCUUCAUUACCAAAAAGCUUAGAUCAUUUGUAAUAGGGCCAGUACGAAAUUUGUAAGUGCCCCUUAACCCCUAAAAAUUUAUCACUUUUAAAGUUCUUCACAUAAUCAUGUUUUGAAGUCUUUCUGUGGUCAAAAAGCUUCUACUGUAUUUUUUGCUUUCUGGUGUGAGCUUGUGAUAGUUUGGUUCUGAUAAGAACUUGAGGCACUCACUAGUCUUCAUUGAAACAUAUUUUAAAGAAAUAUUUCUUACCUAGUCUAAGGGCCACUUUUAGAGCUCCAGUCUUGGGCUUUUGUUAUCUCCAGUCACAAUUUUCUCUGGGCUUAUACUUGUUAAAUCAGUAUUGUUAAAAAAAAAAACAAAAACAAAAUC